rnacentral:tRNA from 1 species
GGCCACUUGGUCUAGUAGUAUGAUUCCUGUUUUGGGUACAGGAGGUCGCGAGUUCAAUUCUCGCAGCGGCCC